rnacentral:rRNA from 1 species
CAGGCCUAACACAUGCAAGUCGAACGAAGGCUUCGGCCUUAGUGGCGCACGGGUGCGUAACGCGUGGGAAUCUGCCCUUGGGUUCGGAAUAACGGUGGGAAACUACCGCUAAUACCGGAUGAUGACGUAAGUCCAAAGAUUUAUCGCCGAGGGAUGAGCCCGCGUAGGAUUAGCUGGUUGGUGGGGUAAAGGCCUACCAAGGCGACGAUCAGUAGCUGGUCUGAGAGGAUGAUCAGCCACACUGGGACUGAGACACGGCCCAGACUCCUACGGGAGGCAGCAGUGGGGAAUAUUGGACAAUGGGCGCAAGCCUGAUCCAGCCAUGCCGCGUGAGUGAUGAAGGCCUUAGGGUUGUAAAGCUCUUUUGUCCGGGACGAUAAUGACGGGAGAUAAAGAAUCGCCCACGCUCAUCAUGGUUUCCCCAU